UACGUAGGGGGCAAGCGUUGUCCGGAAUUAUUGGGCGUAAAGAGCGUGUAGGCGGUUUGAUAAGUCUGCUGUGAAAGUCUAGGGCUCAACCCUGGAAAGCCAGUGGAUACUGUCAAGCUAGAGUCCGGAAGAGGCGAGUGGAAUUCCUGGUGUAGCGGUGAAAUGCGCAGAUAUCAGGAGGAACACCAAUGGCGAAGGCAGCUCGCUGGGACGUGACUGACGCUGAGACGCGAAAGCGUGGGGAGCAAACAGG
rnacentral:rRNA from 1 species